rnacentral:rRNA from 1 species
GACGAACGCUGGCGGCGUGCUUAACACAUGCAAGUCGAACGGUAAGGCCCUUCGGGGUACACGAGUGGCGAACGGGUGAGUAACACGUGGGUGAUCUGCCCUGCACUUCGGGAUAAGCCUGGGAAACUGGGUCUAAUACCGGAUAGGACCACUGCCUGCAUGGGUGGUGGUGGAAAGCUUUUGCGGUGUGGGAUGGGCCCGCGGCCCAUCAGCUUGUUGGUGGGGUGAUGGCCUACCAAGGCGACGACGGGUAGCCGGCCUGAGAGGGUGACCGGCCACACUGGAACUGAGAUACGGCCCAGACUCCUACGGGAGGCAGCAGUGGGGAAUAUUGUACAAUGGGCGCAAGCCUGAUGCAGCGACGCCGCGUGAGGGAUGACGGCCUUCGGGUUGUAAACCUCUUUCAGCACCGACGAAGCGCAAGUGACGGUAGGUGCAGAAGAAGGACCGGCCAACUACGUGCCAGCCGCCGCGGUAA